AGAGUUUGAUCCUGGCUCAGGACGAACGCUGGCGGCGCGCCUAACACAUGCAAGUCGAACGGAGUCAAGAGGAGCUUGCUUUUCUUGACUUAGUGGCGAACGGGUGAGUAACGCGUGAGUAACCUGCCCUGGAGUGGGGGACAACAGUUGGAAACGACUGCUAAUACCGCAUAAGCCCACGAUCCGGCAUCGGAUUGAGGGAAAAGGAUUUAUUCGCUUCAGGAUGGACUCGCGUCCAAUUAGCUAGUUGGUGAGGUAACGGCCCACCAAGGCGACGAUUGGUAGCCGGACUGAGAGGUUGAACGGCCACAUUGGGACUGAGGCACGGCCCAGACUCCUACGGGAGGCAGCAGUGGGGGAUAUUGCACAAUGGGGGAAACCCUGAUGCAGCGACGCCGCGUGGAGGAAGAAGGUUUUCGGAUUGUAAACUCCUGUCGUUAGGGACGAUAAUGACGGUACCUAACAAGAAAGCACCGGCUAACUACGUGCCAGCAGCCGCGGUAAAACGUAGGGUGCAAGCGUUGUCCGGAAUUACUGGGUGUAAAGGGAGCGCAGGCGGACCGGCAAGUUGGAAGUGAAAACUAUGGGCUCAACCCAUAAAUUGCUUUCAAAACUGCUGGCCUUGAGUAGUGCAGAGGUAGGUGGAAUUCCCGGUGUAGCGGUGGAAUGCGUAGAUAUCGGGAGGAACACCAGUGGCGAAGGCGACCUACUGGGCACCAACUGACGCUGAGGCUCGAAAGCAUGGGUAGCAAACAGGAUUAGAUACCCUGGUAGUCCAUGCCGUAAACGAUGAUUACUAGGUGUUGGAGGAUUGACCCCUUCAGUGCCGCAGUUAACACAAUAAGUAAUCCACCUGGGGAGUACGACCGCAAGGUUGAAACUCAAAGGAAUUGACGGGGGCCCGCGCAAGCAGUGGAGUAUGUGGUUUAAUUCGAAGCAACGCGAAGAACCUUACCAGGUCUUGACAUCCGAUGCAUAGCUUAGAGAUAAGUGAAGUCCUUCGGGACAUCGAGACAGGUGGUGCAUGGUUGUCGUCAGCUCGUGUCGUGAGAUGUUGGGUUAAGUCCCGCAACGAGCGCAACCCUUAUUGCCAGUUACUACGAAAGAGGACUCUGGCGAGACUGCCGUUGACAAAACGGAGGAAGGUGGGGAUGACGUCAAAUCAUCAUGCCCUUUAUGA
rnacentral:rRNA from 1 species